rnacentral:rRNA from 1 species
AGUGAACGCUGGCGGCAGGCCUAACACAUGCAAGUCGAACGGCAGCACAGUGGAGCUUGCUCCGUGGGUGGCGAGUGGCGGACGGGUGAGGAAUACAUCGGAAUCUGCCCAGUCGUGGGGGAUAACAUAGGGAAACUUAUGCUAAUACCGCAUACGACCUACGGGUGAAAGCGGGGGAUCGCAAGACCUCGCGCGAUUGGAUGAGCCGAUGUCCGAUUAGCUAGUUGGCGGGGUAAUGGCCCACCAAGGCGACGAUCGGUAGCUGGUCUGAGAGGAUGAUCAGCCACACUGGAACUGAGACACGGUCCAGACUCCUACGGGAGGCAGCAGUGGGGAAUAUUGGACAAGGGGCGCAAGCCUGAUCCAGCCAUGCCGCGUGGGUGAAGAAGGCCUUCGGGUUGUAAAGCCCUUUUGUCCGGAAAGAAAAGCCCUGGGUUAACACCCUGGGGUGAUGACGGUACCGGAAGAAUAAGCACCGGCUAACUUCGUGCCAGCAGCCGCAGUAAAAC